GACGAACGCUGGCGGCGUGCUUAACACAUGCAAGUCGAACGGAAAGGCCCUGCUUUUGUGGGGUGCUCGAGUGGCGAACGGGUGAGUAACACGUGAGUAACCUGCCCUUGACUUUGGGAUAACUUCAGGAAACUGGGGCUAAUACCGGAUAGGAGCUCCUGCUGCAUGGUGGGGGUUGGAAAGUUUCGGCGGUUGGGGAUGGACUCGCGGCUUAUCAGCUUGUUGGUGGGGUAGUGGCUUACCAAGGCUUUGACGGGUAGCCGGCCUGAGAGGGUGACCGGCCACAUUGCGACUGCGAUACGGACCAGACUCCUACGGGAGGCAGCAGUGGCGAAUAUUGCACAAUGGGCCGAAGCCUGAUGCAGCAACGCCGCGUGCGGGAUGACGGCCUUCGGGUUGUAAACCGCUUUCGCCUGUGACGAAGCGUGAGUGACGGUAAUGGGUAAAGAAGCACCGGCUAACUACGUG
rnacentral:rRNA from 1 species